rnacentral:lncRNA from 1 species
UUUGAUAGUACGAUGCGAUCUCUGACAACUUCCAAAAUCGAGCGAGUUUUCUAACCAUUAAAAACAUAGGAAAAUAGACAGAGUAAGCAAUUACGCUUAGUAAGUUCGUAAUUCAAAGAAUAAAACUUACCAUAUAACUACAAAUUUAGGUAAAAAACUCGAAACGUAACUCAAUUCAAUCUUGCCAAAGCCUAUCAUACAACCCAUAAUCAAGUUAGUCAUAUAUUCACAUAAAAUCGAAAAUCAUAUAUGAAUUCAUCAAUUUAUCAAAUUCCAUGUACAUGUAACAUUUAUGCUAUAUAAUCAUAUAUCAAAUAUCAACCAUUUCCAUGCAAUUACUUGUACUUAUCUUAUCGAACUUGUAUAAUCCCGUAUUAUUACUAUGCCCGUUGAACCAUCUAGAAUAUCGUAGGAUACGCGGAUGGUACACACAAAGUGUACUAAACGAUAAACCACCAAUCCUUAUACAUGUAUGCUCAUACGAGCGAUAAACGGUAAGCUCAUUCGAGCAGAAUAUCGGUAAGCUCCUAUGAGCUGAAUAACGAUAAGCUCUUAUGAGUUGAGAAUUGGUAAGCUCAUACGAGCUGCAGUGAGUCCGCAACACAUGCAGGAUCUCAUCCAAAAUCGGUAACCCUAAUGACAUGACACGUCAUUUGUAUCUUACGAAUUUCUAGGGUUCAAAUGAAGCCCAACAUUUAUAGUACUGUAGUGGGCAAAAUUUGCCCGGGCCCACUAGAAACCCAAAAUAAAUACAAAAUAAAUAAAUAUAAAACCCAAGUUUAUAACAGUCCAAGUUACAUGAUUAAAGGCCCGACCCUCCAAAUUUGUAUUGGCCCAAGUGGCUCAAAAUUUGAAACAACCAAAAACCCUAGAGUCCACCUUGCGCCGCAGCCAAGCCCCGACCUCCAUGCUUUCGUACACCCCAAUCUCCAGCAACCACGCCAAGCCUUCAGUGCCGUACGACUAGCGCACAGUCCUCGUACGCCACGUCCACCUUCCGUACGCCUCACGCCAAGGGCCAACGCACAGCCCCGUACUCGUACCUGCAAAAGAGAACAAACGAAAGCAGCAAAAAUACGAAGAAAGAAGAAUUGUAUUUUAUUUUAUUAUUAUUUUUUUAACAUUCGGCUAUAAAGCCUAUUGAUUUUGAUUGUAAAGGUCUUUUUUUUUACGAACACAAAAAAGGAAUAAACGCAACAGAAAGCGAAUACGCACAAUACAGGCAAUACACGUAGCUUGAAAAUCAGAGAGCGUUUUCUUGGGAAGGUGAUCUUUAUUCUUCGGUCUUAUUUUCUAUUACCUUCGGAUUUCUUUUUUUAUAUAUAUAUCAUUUACAUUAAAAAAAGGAGAGGGAGGACCUACUUUGAGUCUAGGCUGUUGGUUCCCUCUCGCCUUGUCGAAAUCGGAGUGUGUAGGGAGGCCGGUGACUGAAAGAAGCUAUGCUUCGAAGCCUGCAAGCGUCGGUCACCAUACCUUGCGACGGGCUGGUCUUUUUGAGGGAGAAAACGCAGAUUACGGCUGAAGAAGGAAAUGAGGCUAGGGUUCCAGCCGAAUAGGCUAAAAUAAGCCUUUAUAUAGGGCCUUAAAUGACACCGUUUUAAGCCUUGCCCAAGGGCUCUCCACGGUGUCGUUUUGUAACACCCAACCCGAUCCAUUUGUCCACCCUAUGACCCCUGCGUUCUGGCGGAGAGGGGGUAAUUUCGCAAUCGGUCUUUCCUUUUUUGUAUGGGCCUUCAAUGUUGCCUUAUUUAUUUAAUUUCCUUUUAAUUUAGCUUUAAAAUUUGUACGUGUUUGCAAAUUGAUCCGCGUUUUACUGCUGCGUUGUGAGGACUGGUAUAUUUCCAGUUUAGAUCCUUCUGCAUUUGCGUGCAUCGCGCACUGGUCCCUUUUAUUAUAUAGUUCUAUUUUCCAAUUUUCCCCUUUUGUUUUAGUUUAAUUUUGAUUAAGUCUUUUUGUUAUGUAACACUUUUUGUUCAUAAUUAAUUAUUUUCACUUUUUAAACGACUUUGGUAGUUGCGACUUCAUUUCUGUAAAUCUAUUUUUUUGUAAUAUUACUUCAACAUUUUGUAUACUACUUUAUAUAUUUUAAUUUGUAAUAAAAUUCAUCUUAGUCUAUAUGCUAUUAAUCUCAUAUUAUUUUGUACAUACAACUUAUUUUGAAUCCAUUCUCAUAUUUUUAUACAUAUUUGUUGUUUAAAAGAAAAUUACGUGUUUUAUAUAUUAUUUAAAUAUCAUAUAUGAGCAUUGGUAUGUAUAUAUAUAUACUAAUCUAUACAUCACUAAACCAUAUAUUUUAAUAUGUUUGGUACACACAUUUUGCGUGUGGUUUAAAUUAUUUUUGUAUUUAUACAUAUUAGUAGGUGUACAUUUUUUUUAAAGUUUGUAAUUUGCAAUAUUUAUUACUUUAAUGUGCUUAAUAUUUUCAUAUAUUGGUUGAGCUAUUUCAAUAACCUCCUCACAUUUUUAAUCACCAUUUUGUAGCUCAUUCUUAUACUAUAUUAUUUAAAAUAUUUUUAUAACACUUGUUCAAGUAUUUCAUGAAUAUUUGUUCAUGAAUAUUCUUAUACUAUGUAUUUGUUCAUUGCUUUAGAUUCGUUCUAUACCAUAUUAUUUUUUUAUUUGCAUUUUGCUUUAUGUACCUUGCAUUGAUCAUUUUAUGGUAUGCCAUGCAUGUAUCGUUGCAUUGUUUACUUACUCAUUGUAUUAUAUUUUCAUGUUAAUUAUUCUCCAUGCGUAAUUGAAGUUGAAUUAUAUUUUCAAGUCGGUUAUACUUAGUUGCUUAGGUGUUUGUUAGUCGAUUAAGUAAAUUGUAUUGCCUCCACUCUUCCAUUGUCGCGUUUUAUGCAUACAUAUAUCACCUCAUAUCAUCGUUUUCCACGUGACUUUUGAAAUGUGGUUUUAUAAAAUCCCAAUUCUUAAGGUCGACUCCGUUUUAUUUCAAGUAAGAUUAACACAUUUUAAUCUAAUUUUAUACUUAUUCUUUUUAAGAAUUCUUUAAAACGAAGGCGGUAUUCGAUAUUUGACAAUUCGAGGAAUCGUGCCCUAACGUGUUGGGUUGCAAUUUCUUGUUUGCUCAAAGUAAUUGAAAGGCUCUUUCGAAUUUUACCCAUGUCUUUUAAGAGUUCUUUUAAACGAAGGCGAUAUUCGAUAUUUGGCAAUUCGUGGAAUCGUUCCCUAACGUGCUGGGUUGCAAUUUUGCGUUUGCUCAAAACAAUCAAAUAUCCCUUCAAAAUUUCACUCAGGUCUUCUAAAAAUCCUUUAAAAUGAAGGCAAGUCUCGGUGUUUGACAAUUCAGGAAUCAUGCCCUAUCGUGCUGGGUUGUGAUCUCUCAUUUGUUAAAAACAAUCGAAUAUUCCUUUAGGUUUUCACUCACGUUUUCUAAAAAACCCUUUAAAAUGAAAGAAAUGUUCGAUGUUUGGCAAUUCGGGGGAUCGUGCCCUAACGUGUUGGGUUGCAAUUUCCCGUUUGCUCAAAAUAAUCGAAUGUCUUUUUGGGAUUUCACUCGUAUUUUCUAAGGUGAGGCAAUGUUCAAUGUUUGGAAAUUCGAGGAAUCGUGCCCUACUGUGCCGGGCUUCGGUUUUUCGUUGGACUAAAGAUUUUGGCAACCAAUUCGGGUUACUCAAAUGUUACUAAAAAGAACCACAUUUCAAAAAUAUUUUUUAUUUUAGACAUAAGAACAGUAUCUAAUCGGUUUGGUACCAAUUUUGGGCGUAGUGAGGGUGCUAAUCCUUCCUCAUACGUAACCGACUCCCGAGCCUGCUUUCUCAAAAUUCGUAGAAUAAAAUCGUUUUUUUAGUAAAUCAAAAAUGUUUUAUUAAAAUAACGAAAUUCUUAGGUGAACCGAUCACACCUAAUAAAAAAGGAUGGUGGCGACUCCAUAUUUCUGUUUUGUUUUCGAAAGUCGAUUCUCCUCUUUUUUCAUUAAAAUUAAAUUUUUUAAAUAAAAAGGGUGGUUUCGAUAGCUUGGCGACUCCACUGGGGAUUUGAGAGUCGAGCCAUAAAAUCGAUUAUUUACUGUCCUUUUUUCAAAAAAAAUCGAAAACUUAUUUUAAAAAUAAUGUGUCUUACUAAUGCAUUUGUUUGUAUGGUUAUUAUGGUUUGGAUCGUGUAGAAUAAUGCUGCACUUCAUUGCAUGACCGCUGUGGUCACACCUUCUAAGUGGGAGUAAGAAACUACUCUUUCGUGAGGUUUUCACCUCCGCAUGGGCUAGUGGAUUGCUUCCGGGGUACAUCCGUACCUAUGAUUUUGUGAGAUUUUCAUCUCCGCACGGUCAUAGGGAAAUGUAUCCCUCCAAACUGAACUCGAUCUACAUGAGCCUAUAAUGGGCGAUGAUUGAGGAAUCGGCUGGUUCGGGUACCUUAUCCCUAGAACUAAACCACAUAUAGUGAACCUUAGGAGCUAUCCUCGGGUGGAGCCGCGCCAAGCCUUAGUACUUACCCAUAUAUGCGUUGUAAUUUAUGUGCUUGCAUUUUAUCGAUAUUAUCUGAUACUAACCUGUGUUUUGUUUUGAUUGUCUUUUUUUUUGCAUGACAUUGCAUAUUAAAGGAGGUGUUAAUCCGUAUUCAAUUACUAAGUUAGAAAGUUUGACAUGGAGAAUGAAUUUCUUAGUAAAGUCGAGGAUAAUGCAGCCGUUCGUGCAUGGUCAUAGAAGCUACAAUCAAAGAGAGGGGAUAUCUUGGCAGAAGGACAUAUCUCCGAGCUGCAGGACUUCACUCGCGUCAAUGUAGCACAGAAUGAGCUGCAAGAGUUGAAAGAUAUUUGGGCUAGUUGGGAUAAAGGGAUCAAGCAGUUGUUCUAUCAAAGCUAUGGUGAUAUAUCCUACUUGCUUGACAUUAGAGUGGACAAGCAUCAAUUUCGGGUUAUAGUUCAGUUUUGGAAUUCUGCGUACAAGUGUUUCACUUUUGGAGAAGUGGAUUUAGUACCUACUAUGGAGGAAUACACUACUUUGCUCAGGUGUCUAAAAAUUCAGGUCCGAAAGACUUAUGCCCGGGUUUUUAGUAGUCAGACUUUCGUGAAAAAAUUGAUGAGUAUUUCUGGGAUGAGCGAGCCUUGGGUCACUGCUCGGAUUUAGCAAAAAAGAGAUAGUAAGUGCAUCUCUUAAGAGAAUUUGAGAGAUUUGAUUUUGACGCAUCCAGAUGAAAGAAAGAGGGUCGAUAUCUUUGCCUUAAGCAUCUACGGAUUGGUAAUUUUUCCUAAGGCUUUGAGGCACGUGGACGAGGUAGUCAUUGACUUAUUCGAUCGCCUUGAGAAGGGAAUCACGCCGGUACCGGCGAUAUUGGUAGAAACUUUCAGAUCUUUGUGCUCAUUUUGGAAGACGGGCGAAGGGCAGUUCAUCGGAUGUGCACAAUUAUUGAUGGCAUAGUUUUACGGGCACUUUUAGAAGGUAGACAAGGUUUCCUAUCGGGUCUUUUUCGAGGGUUAUUCCCCGUUAAAAGAAGAGGCAGCUAUACAAAGGAGGGAGGAUAUCUCGGAGGAGAAGUGGAUGGACAUUUUUCAGAACCUCAAGGAGGGGGAUAUCGAGUGGAGAGCUUAUUGGAUGGUUCCUGACGAGAUCAUGUACCGAUGUGGUAACUUCGAUUGGGUGCCAUUGUUAGGAAUUUGGAGAGCUAUCGGGUGUACUCCAUUACUUGCGUUGAGGCAAUAUAAGUCGAGGCAGUUUGUACCCACGACCUAUGGACUUGCUCAGAGUGAAUUCUGGUUUAAAGGUGCUCACUAUAAGAAGAGAGUUCGAGAGUUAUCAGAUGCUUGGAAGUAAACUUGUUAGAUGAAGAGGUUAGCCAUCAGUUCCAUGGUAACGCCCGAGUAUACCGAGUGGUUUAAGAAGAGGGUUAAUGAUAAUAUUCCUAAGCCAAGCUUGGAGGAUGCUCGACCUAUCGGGGAACAAUUACAAGUCGCCUCGUCAGAAUUGGAGAUUAUAAGGCAAGAUUUCGAGAAGAAGAGUUCGGAGCUUGGGAAGAAGAUCGAACAAUUGGAGGAAGAAAAGAUGCACCUGAAAUUGGACGCUGAUGUCCAGAGGUCAGAGGCUGAAAAGUGGAAAAAAGGAAAAACUAAGGCCGAAGAAGAUUUAGACAACUUGAAUACGGACUAUAAGAAGCUGCGCCUAUCUAUGAGGACUACGAGUUUAGGUAAGACUUCCGAACAAUGGCGCCAUGAAAUUUGAGAAGAAAAAGCCAAUACCGACAGGUGGGAAAGGAAAUUCUGAGAAGCUCAGGCACAAAACGAAGAUUUAGAGAAGAGUCUGUCGGAAAGCAGAAAUGAGCGAGGUGAAUUAAAGGCUAGAGUGGUGGAACUCGAGAAGUCUCUGCAUCAGUACCGAAAUCGUAGCACCAUAAUGGAAUUGAGGGCAAGCUUGAGCAAGAUAGAAGAAAUGAAAGGAAAAAUAGAAGAGUUAGAGGCGUCACUGCAAAACUGUGAAAUGCGGAUCCAAUUUUUUGAGGCAAACGAGGAUAUUUGGAAAGAACAGCUUCACCAUGCGCAAGACCAAGUCAGAAACCGAGAUUACCUUAUGAGGGAAGCCAUAACCCAAAUUCGGGAGGUAGCUGACUACUUGUAAACUUUAGCGGUUCAGGCGGAUACACUGAGCGUGAAGUAUGAGUUGGAGUCAGAACGCGGACAAGAGCUGGCCUCGUUGUUUAGAAAAAUUAGGACUUUGAGUGUUAGAGCGAAAUUUUAUUUGUAACUCAACUUUAUGUAAAAGAUUUUAUUUUCAAGUGAAAUUUUCUAAAGGCAAUUGAAUCAAAAUUGAUGUCUCCUUUGCAUUCAUACAUUUGCAUUACAUCAUAUCAUUAUGCAUUAAAGGCCAUAAGAGUUUUCUAAUUAAUUAAUUAAAAAAUUAUUUCAGUAACCUGGAAACCAAAGAAAACCAACCAACCACGCACCCCUACGGUACAAGAAAAAAAUCAAUGGAUAAGAGACUCGAGAAAUUAGAGCAAAUGCAAAAGGACAUGCAGGAACAAAUGCAGUCACAGAUGCAAGUGCAGCUAGCCAAAAUUCAGUGAGAGAUGCAGGAACAAAUGAUGGAGUCCCAGAGAGAAAUGAUGUCCCAGUUAUCCAAAUUGCUGUUGGGAGGAAUGGAUAAGGGAAAGGGCCCCAUGGACAAAGUUGAGGAAACUAAUGAAGAUCCCCAAUACCCUCCCGGCUUCACUCCGACACAUGUACCAGUAAAGCCCAGGAUUAAUCUACCAAAACCAUCCGUCACGAUCAUGCCUCAGCAGGUUCAGCCGGAGCUUCAAUGUCGAUGAACUUCCAAACUGGCUCAGGCUCUAACUUUGUCAACAACCCGAACUAUCUGCCCAUUCCCGAUUUGGACGAAAUUGCUGAAGAAGAAAAGGCGAGGAUAGAUUCUCAAAAACAGUUGGAAGAACGGUGUAGAUGGCUUGAGGAGAAAUUCAAAGCCAUGGAGAGCAUGGAUCAUCAUCAAGGGAUUGAUGCGAAGGACCUGAGUUUGGUCCCAGAUUUAGUUCUUCCCCUUAAAUUCAAAAUGCCUGAAUUCGAGAAAUACAAUGGAACAAGUUGCCCUGAAGCUCAUAUCACUAUGUUCUGCAGGCGAAUGACGGGAUAUGUUAACAAUGACCAGCUAUUAAUCCACUGCUUUCAAGAUAGUCUGGUCGGGGUGGCGUCUAAGUGGUACAACCAAUUAAGCCGCUUUAAAAUUAACUCAUAGAAGGACCUGGCUCAGGAUUUUAUGAAACAAUACAAUCACGUGACGGAUAUGACCCCCGACAGAAUCACUAUCCAGAAUAUGGAGAAAAAAGUCAAAUAAAAGCUUCAAACAGUAUGCACAAAGGUGGAAAGAAGUGGCCAUACAAGUUCAGCCGCCGCUUCUAGAAAAAAAGACGACAAUGCUCUUUAUCAACACCUUGAAAGUCCCUUUUAUCACUAAUAUAUUGGGAAGCGCCACAAAAAGCUUCUCCAACAUAGUGAUGACGGAGGAAAUGAUCGAAAAUGCUGUAAGGAGUGGCAAGAUAGAAUCAAGAGAAAGUGCCAGGAAGUCGGCCCCGAGGAAAAGAGACAAUGAAGUGAACAACACGAGUACAUUCAACAAGAGUCAAUCCAAGUCAUUCACUGUGACCACCAAUCAACAAAGCUUUGUAAGAAAGGAAUCUAACGUAAGGGAGAACACGGAAAGGCCACAAUUCACCCCUAUACCCAUGACGUAUAGGGAGUUGUACUAGAACCUGUUUAACGCUCAUGUGGUGUCCCCUUUCUACCUGAAGCCACUACAGCCCCCGUAUUCUAAAUGGAAUGACACAAACGCCCAAUGUGAAUACCACCCGGGAAUCACCGGGCACUCAAUUGAAAACUGCACUGCGUUCAAGAAUAUAGUCGAAAGACUCAUUAAGAUGGGGAUCGUGAGAUUUGACGACCCAACCACACCCAAUGUAGCAGGAAACCCACUCCCCAAUCAUACCGACCAAUGAGUGCAUGGGAUAAGUGAAGGUAGGAAAAAGAAAAUCAAGAAUGAGGUGGUAGAAGUUAAGACCCCGUUGAGGCGGGUAUAGAAGGAGAUGGCCAAGAGAGGAUUGAUCGCGUUGGAUUCGAGUGACGAAUCUGAAGAAGAGAGAAACUGCUGCGAGUUCCACAAUGAGGUGGGGCAUGAAAUCCAAGAGUGUGUGGAAUUCAGGGCCCUAGUACAGAACAUGAUGGAUAAUAAGGAAAUGAAGUUUUAUGAAGAGAUCGAAGACCCCGUAGAGGGAGAUAUAUGUGCAUCAGAAGGAGAAUCGAUGGCACAGAAUCAAACAGCUAACUAUCCUGUAGUUAUCAUAUCGAGACCCAAAAAUAAUGAAGCCGGAGUACAAAUGCCACCAAUGGUUAUAAUCCAAAGACCUGCUGUCUUUCCCUCUAAAAAUAGUAAAAAGGUCCCAUGGAAUUAUGAUUGCAACGUGUCGAUUCCAGGGAAGGAAAGCCAGGUGGAUGUUUCAAAAAAGGGUCAAGAUAGGGGCUCCUAUACACGUAGCGGGAGACAUUACGAUAUAGCAAAUGAGGAGGUACAACUCGUAAAAGGAAAAGCCCCAGUGGUCGAGGAAACGAAAGAAAAAGCAACCAAACCUAUUAACGAGCCAUUUAACGUAGAGGAGGCCAAGAAAUUUUUAAAAUUCCUAAAGCAUAGCGAAUUUAAUGUGGUAGAACAGCUACGUAAAUAACCGGCUCGUAUCUCGGUGCUGGCCUUACUUCUAAGCUCGGAAGUCCAUCGCAGCGCGCUAAUGAAGGUCUUGAAUGAAACAUAUGUUGUCAAUGAUAUCUCCGUUAACAAGUUGGACCGCUUGGUUAGCAACAUCAGUGCUGACAACUAUAUCUUCUUCAAUGACGAUGAGAUACCACCCGGUGGUAUGGGGUCGACUAAAGCUUUGCAUAUCACCACACGCUGUAAAGGGUAUACGCUGCUAGGCGUAUUGAUUGACAAUGGUUUGGCCUUGAACGUUUUACCCUUAACUACACUUAACAGAUUACCUAUAGACAGCUCACACAUGAAGGAGUGCCAGAAUAUAGUGAAAGCAUUUGACGGCACAGAGAGAAAGGUAAUGGGUAGAAUCGAGGUACCUCUUCAGAUCGGACCAAACACAUAUGAGGUGGAUUUCCUAGUAAUGGAUAUCAAGCCCUCAUAUAAUUUCUUAUUGGGGAGGCCCAAUAUACAUUCAGCUGGGGCAGUACCUUCCUCGUUGCAUCAAAAGUUGAAACUAGUAUCAGAGGGGAGGUUGAUAACAAUCAAUGCUGAGGAAGACAUCAUCGCAACUGUGAGCAAUAAUGCACCCUAUUUGGAGAUAGAUGACGAAGCAAUCGAAUGCUCAUUUCGAUCUUUGGUAUUUGUUAAUGCGAUGUUCAUUGCCAAGAGAAGAAAAAUUCCAGUGCCGAAAUUGUCCAAAACUACGAGGAUGAGCCUCCAGUUGAUGAUUGGAAAAGAGGGCCUACCCGGAAAAGGAAUGAUUGAAACGCCAAUGCUAAAGGACAAGAGAGACCGCUUCGGCUUAAGAUUUAAGCCUGAUGCGAAACAAAGGAGAAGGGAGCUAGAAAAGAAGCAAGAAAGAAGGAGAGCAUGGUUAACGGGGGAGGAAAUCAAGUGGGAGCCAAUGAUAUUCCCUCACAUAUCGAAAACUUUUGUGUCCGGAGGAAUCAUUCAUCCCGAGAGAGACACGCUAAUGAAGGGAGCCAUAGAAGAAAUGCUAGAAAUCUUGGACAUCAACGCCAUGUACGAAGAGGAGACUGAAAGAGAAAAUUUGUCGGGCAUUUGCCCCUACACACCUGGAAGUGUUCUGGACAACUGGACUGCGGAAGAGAUUCAGAGUAAUGUCCAAAACACACUUACUGCUCUAGGCCUAGGAGUAAUAAGAAUCUUUUGUGAAAUAGGCUGAUGUUUAAAAACGUUAUUUCAAUAAAAUGCACGGUUAUUAUCAUUUUUGAGCAAAUGUUCUCUCAUCCAUUCAAUUUCAUUCAUAACCAUACAAAUGAUUACUUUCAGAUUUUUUAUUCUUUAAACAGUCUAAAUAUUCUUUCAUUCGUCAUUCAUAAUCAUACCACACAAAUAAAUGUUUCAAAUUCUUUUGAUUCUUUGUAUCUGCCUUCAUCCUCAUAACAGGUCCCCAGAUAUUAAUGAUACGAGCGACAUUGCUAGCGACUCAGAAUUUCCUUUUAAGCGAGAUGUGUGUAUGGAGGAUUCUCAGGAUUUUGAAGAUAACCAAGGCUGUAACCUAUCUCCUGAUUUGUUGAGAAUGGUAGAACAAGACGAGAAACAAAUCCUACCUCACAAAGAAUCAGUUGAAAUUGUGAGCUUAGGAGAAGGACAAGAGGUGAAGAUCGGAACUUGUAUCACUAUGGAGAUGAAGCGAGACCUCAUUAAAUUACUUCAAGAAUUCAAAGAUAUCUUCGCAUGGUUAUACCAAGAUAUGCCCGGGUUGGACACUGACAUCGUGGUACACCGACUCCCCAUAAAAGAAGAAUGUAAGCCAAUUCAGCAAAAACUCCGAAGAAUGAGGCCCGAUGUCUUGCUAAAAAUAAAAAAAGAGGUUCGAAAGCAGUUCGACGCCGGAUUCCUGAAGGUGGUAAAAUACUCAGAUUGGGUAGCCAACAUCGUCCCCGUCCCUAAGAAAGAUGGAAAAGUGCGAAUGUGUGUGGACUACAGAGAUUUGAAUAAAGCCAGCCCGAAAGACAAUUUCCUACUGCCUCAUAUCGACACUCUAGUGGACAACACGGCAGGACACUCACUGUUUUCAUUCAUGGAUGAUUUUCCGGAUAUAACCAGAUCAAGAUGCAUCCUGAAGAUAUGGAGAAGACCACAUUUGUAACCAUGUGGGGGACAUUCUGUUACAAAGUGAUGCCAUUUGGACUGAAAAAUACGGGGGUAACUUACCAAAGAGCCAUGGUAACCCUGUUUCAUGACAUGAUGUAUAAAGAAAUCGAGGUUUAUGUGGAUGAUAUGAUCGCAAAGUAUCGGACGGAGAAGGAGCACAUACAAGUCCUGAGGAAAUUGUUCUUGAGGUUGAGGAAGUUUCAGCUAAAACUCAACCCCGCCAAAUGUUCCUUUGGAGCCAAGUCUGGAAAGUUGCUCGGAUUCGUGGUUAGUGAGAAAGGGAUCGAGAUUGAUCCAAACAAGGUUAAAGCCAUACAAGAGCUAUCUCCGCCGCGUACUCAAAAAGAGGUUUGAGGUUUUCUAGGAAGAUUAAAUUACAUCGCUCGGUUCAUUUCACAACUAACCGAGAAAUGUGACCCUGUCUUCUGCCUCCUCAAGAAACACAACCCAGGUGAAUGGGAUGAAGAAUGCCAAAAGGCUUUCGACAAGGUCAAACGGUACUUAUCCAACGCUCCGGUGCUAAUGCCACCUAACUCCGAUAAGCCAUUGAUACUGUAUUUGGCAGUAUUUGAGAAUUCCAUGGGAUGCGUAUUGGGUCAGCAUGAUGAGUCAGGAAGGAAAUAAAAGGCUAUUUACUAUCUUAGUAAAAAGUUCACGGAAUGUGAGACAAGGUACCGGCCGAUAGAGAAGCUGUGUUGUGCCCUAAUUUGGAUGACCCAAAGGCUGAGGCAGUAUAUGUUGUAUCACACCAUUUGGCUCAUCUCAAAAUUGGACCCUUUAAAGUACAUGAUAGAGUCAACAGCUUUGAAUGGAAGGAUGGCCCGAUGGCAGAUUUUGCUAUUUGAAUUCGACAUAGUUUAUGUAAACCAGAAAGCCGUAAAAGGGAGUGCAAUAGCAGAUUUUUUGGCUAGUAGAGCUUCGGAAGACUACGAGCCUUUGAACUUCAAUUUUCUGAACGAGGACCUAAUGUGUAUUGCUACCACUGAAGAAGGUGCUCCGGAGGAACUUCCUUGGAAACUAAACUUCGAUGAGGCAUCAUAUGUCGUGGGUAAUAGAAUUGGGGCAGUAUUGGUAUCCCCAAAUGGAGAUCAUUAUCCAUUCACUAGUAAAUUGGAUUUUGAUUGUACGAAUAACAUGGCAUAAUAUGAGGCGGGCAUCAUGGGAGUCCGUGCAGCCAUAGAACGCAAGAUUAAAGUGCUAGAGGUGUAUGAAGAUUUUGCGCUAGUGAUUUAUCAACUCAAGGGAGAAUGGAAGACCAGAGACCCCAAGUUAAUCGAUUAUCGGAAACUGGUCCUGGAAUUGGUUAAAGAGUUUGAUGACAUUACCUUCCAUUACCUUCCACGAGACGAAAAUCAGAUGGUUGAUGCUUUGGCUACCUUAGCUUCCAUGAUCAAGGUGAACAAACAAGAAGAUGAAAAACCCAUUCGGAUGAGCAUUUAUGAAAUUUCGGCCCACUAUUGCAAUAUUGAAGAAGAUGAAGAGAAAGAUGAUCACCCUUGGUAUCACGAUAUAUUGCAAUACGUGAAGAAUCGUUAGUACCUAGACCAGGCAAGUGAGAAUGACAAAAGGACGUUGAGAAGAUUGGCCAUUGACUAUGUCUUAGAUGGGGAGAUCCUAUACAAAAGAAGAAAGGAUCAAGUGCUACUAAGGUGCGUAGACGUUGUAGAGGCUAAGAAAAUCUUGAAAGAAGUCCAUGAAGGCGUCUGUGGAGCACACGCUAAUGGCUUUACGAUGGCCAGACAAAUUAUGAGAUUCGGGUAUUAUUGGUCCACUAUGGAAGAAGACUGUAUCAAUUACGUCAAGAGAUGCCAUAAGUGCCAAAUCUACGGAGACAAAAUUCAUGUGCCUCCUUCACCGCUGCAUGUCAUGGUUUCUCCAUGGCCAUUCUCUAUGUGGGGCAUGGAUGUGAUUGGACCAAUAUCGCCGAAAGCUUCCAAUGGGCAUCGGUUCAUCUUUGUGGUUAUCGACUACUUCACCAAAUGGGUAGAAGCCGCUUCGUAUGCUAGUGUUACAAAGUCAGCAGUGAGCAGAUUCCUGAAAAAAAAGAUCAUAUGUCGAUAUAGAAUGCCGGAGAGGAUCAUAUCUGACAAUGCAUCAAACUUGAACAACAGUACGAUAGCGGAAGUCUGCAAUCAAUUUAAGAUCAGACAUCACAACUCGUCACCAUAUCGCCCGAAGAUGAAUGGGGCAGUGGAAGCAGCCAAUAAAAAUAUUAAAAAGAUCGUGGGGAAGAUGACCGAGACCUACAAAGAUUGGCAUGAGAAAUUACCAUUUGCCCUCUUUGCUUAUCGAACAUCGGUCAGAACCUCAACUGAGGCAACGCCUUUCUUCCUGGUCUACGGAAUGGAAGUAGUUUUACCCAUCGAAGUCGAGAUCCCAUCCCUCCGAGUGUUGUCGGAACUAAAAUUGGACGAAACAGAGUGAGUCCAAUCUCGAUAUGACCAAUUGAACUUGAUCGAGGAAAAGAGGCUAAAAGCUAUUCGUAAUGGUCAGAUGUACCAAAAACGAAUGAUGUGGGCUUAUGACAAAAAAGUUCGCCCUAAAGAAUUCCACGAGGGAGACCUGGUUUUGAAAAAGAUCCUUCCCAUACAGAAGGAUUUUUGAGAAAAAUGGAUGUCUAAUUGGGAGGGGCCCUCUGUGGUAAAGAAAGCUUUCUCCGAAAGAACAUUGAUUCUAGCUGAGAUUGACGGUAAAAACUUACCCCAUCCCGUCAAUUCGGAUUUCGUCAAGAAGUAUUUUACCUAAAGCAAGAGAGGCCAGAGUGAAAACCCGUAAAGGGAGCUCUGAGUCUAAAAAAUAAAAAUAAUAAAAAAAACAGAGAUGCUAAGGUGAAAACCCGCAAAAGGCACUUUGAGACCAAAGGGGAUUUUGAGUUGAAAACCCAAAAACGGGCAGAUCAAAUUUGGAACAUGGGGCAUAUGGAAGUCUUGUCCCCCCAAAAUUAACAAAAGGGAAUAACAGUACAUCUUGGAGCAUCAAAAAACUACGCAGGAUCUCCUGAAUACACAUUUGGUUCGAAAGAGCCUUUGAGAAAUUGGAAUAGUGAAACUCGUGCUGCGAUAUCUAGGGCACCUCUUUUCUCAUUUUAUUUUGUGCCUUGGAAGAUUUGCUAUCUUUUUUGAUGUAUUCACUUCGAGUUUUACUCAAUAAAAUUCCAUUUUGUCCAUUAUGAUAAUCUCUUUCGAGCAUUUUUGUUGAAAUCGCGAUUUUGGACAUGUAAUAUUCACACAAAAGAUAUUAUGCAUAUUAUUCUGGAAAGUCUCUAAAUAGUAUAAGGACCUGAAACAGGGCCACUAGUCAGGACUAACCAGGCUCAAAAUUGGAAACAUUAAAAAAAAGAGUCCUAAUUGUGACUAUUUCUUCAAAUUUUCUAUCGAAGAUAACGACUAAGCAAGAGGGCGUGAUAGCACAUCAAUGAUAGAACCCGGAUGAACAAUGAGCAACGAUACCUUAAGCGUUUAGAAAUGGAUCACUCUCAUGACAUUUCUACAUUCAUAAUCAUUUAUUUAGUUAAGAGCACUUGAUUUAUUUUGAUCAUAGCAUUCUAAUUAUUUGACAUAAACACCACAUCUAGUUAGGGACAUUUGGUUCAUCUCGAUCAUAGCAUCCUAAUUAUUUGACAUACAUAGAUACAGGAAACCAAUUCUACAAAUCAUGUCUUUAGAAGACGGUGUAGCGACAUUGGCGAAUCCUACAAAUCCUAUUUCCCUGAAGUUGCAGUGAAACAGAUCGAAGACGGCGAGUCUUGGCUUCCUGAAGUUGCAGUGAAGCAGAUUUAAGCCACCAACCUAGCUCCCUAAAGUUGUAGUGGAGUAGGCUAAAAUUUUAGGUCUUGUUUUCCUAAAAUGCAGUGAAGCAGAUCGAAGACGGUGAAUCUUGGCUUCCUGAAGUCGCAGUGAAGUAGAUUUAAGCCACCAACCUAGCUCCCUAAAGUUGUAGUGGAGUAGGCUAAAAUUUUAGAUCUUGUUUCCCUUAAAUUGCAGUGAAGCAGAUCGAAGACGGCGAAUCUUGGCUUCCUGAAGUUGCAGUGAAGCAGAUUUAAGCCACCAACCUAGCCCCCUAAAGUUGUAGUGGAGUAGGCUGAAAUUACAGAUUUUGUUUCCCUAAAGUUGCAGUGGAACAGAUCGAAGACGAUGAAUCUUGGUUUCCUGAAGCUGCAAUGAAGCAGAUUUACACCACCAACCUAACUCCCUAAAGAUGUAGUGGAGUAGGCUGAAGAUUGCAGAUCUUGUCUCCCUGAAGUUGCAGUGAAGCAGAUCGAAGUCAUAAUACUUAUCUCCUUGAAAUUGCAGUAGAGUAGGGUAAAAACACACGAACCAUGUCUCCAUGAAGUGCAGUGGAGCAUAUUGAAGCUACUUGAAGAAAAGAAGCGCCAAAAGAAAUCGAAACUCAGCAGGUCCUGGAAAAAUUGGCCCAUUUAUAGUCUUUGCUCUAUUCUUGUUACACGAUAAUGAGCAAAGAGGGGCAGCUGUAGUGGGCCAAAUUUGCCCAGGCCCACUAGAAACCCAAAAUAAAUACAAAAUAAAUAAAUAUAAAACCCAAGUUUAUAACAGUCCAAGUUACAUGAUUAAAGGCGCGGCCCUCCAAAAUUGUAUUGGCCCAAGUGGCCCAAAAUUUGAAACAACCAAAAACCCUAGAGUCCACCUUGCGCCGCAGCCAAGCCCCGACCUCCAUGCUUUCGUAUGCCCCAAUCUCCAGCAACCACGCCAAGCCUUCAGCGCCGUACGACCAUCGCACAGUCCUCGUACACCACGUCCAACUUCCGUACGCCUCACGCCAAGGGCCAACGCAUAGCUCCGUACUCGUACCUGCAAAAGAGAACAAACGAAAGCAGCAAAAAAACGAAGAAAGAAGAAUUGUAUUUUAUUUUAUUAUUAUUAU